AGAGUUUGAUCAUGGCUCAGGACGAACGCUGGCGGCAUGCCUAACACAUGCAAGUCGAGGGGAAACGACAUCGAAAGCUUGCUUUUGAUGGGUGUCGACCGGCGCACGGGUGAGUAACGCGUAUCCAACCUGCCCACCACUUGGGGAUAACCUUGCGAAAGUAAGACUAAUACCCAAUGAUAUCUCUAGAAGACAUCUGAAAGAGAUUAAAGAUUUAUCGGUGAUGGAUGGGGAUGCGUCUGAUUAGCUUGUUGGCGGGGUAACGGCCCACCAAGGCAACGAUCAGUAGGGGUUCUGAGAGGAAGGUCCCCCACAUUGGAACUGAGACACGGUCCAAACUCCUACGGGAGGCAGCA
rnacentral:rRNA from 1 species